UCUCGGAAACGCCCGAGGGCUCCGCAGGGCGUUACGGAUAUUCUUGGAAGCGUUUUACGUCAGUUGCGGAGAUGGGUGUAUUUUGCAGUUCGUAUAAGAAAAACAAAAUACGGAGCGGGAGUAAAGUUCUCGCGCCGCCUGAACCAGAACGUGGGGUGGGGCGGGGCGGCGGCAGGGGGGGUUGUCUCCGUUGCGACGUAACGCUCUUUGCGUCUUUACCCGGCCUGUUAUUGCGGAGAUGCGCCGUAAGCGUAGCGCGUUGGGUUUAGAGAAUAGGGGGUUUGCCGGAUUCCGCUGCGGGACGGAACUUGGGCCUGCGGUUGUGAGUCACUUUGCAGAGACAAUAAACGUCCUCCACGCUUUAUUUUAAGAGUUUGCAAGGUGCCAGAAGCCAGGAGAGUACUCCUCAGCUGGCCCUUCUAGGUGACCUGGGCGGCCCCGGAGACUGGCCGCGCGCCCGGCGCCAUUUCCUUAUCACUUGGGCCAGAGACACAGACAGUGAUGGAUUCAUUGAACACAUUGGUAAAUGACUAGAGGACCAGCACCCUCCUAGGUGCUGGGGCCACAUGUUCAUCUAUAAAUGAAAUAACUGGGCCUCACAGGGAUGCUGGAAGGAGGGAAUGAAAUACCUUGAAGAGCGGUGCCUGGUACUGAUGUGCAGCGGUAUGAGCAGAUGUCAUCAACUUGCUAAAUAGGUGAGCAAGCUGAGGCUCGCUAAGUGGCUAGGCCAGGGGCACAGUGCACAGAGGGCAUAAGAAGGACUCAAAUGCAGAUGCCCUAGCACUGUUGGGUUUGGGGAUGCAUAAUUUCCCCAUCCUGUGCCUUGUAAGGGAUUAGCAGCAUCCUUGGCCUCUCCCCACUAGAUACCACUAGAAUCACCCUCUUGUCCAAGUCACAAUGGCAAAAAUGUCUCCAGACUUUGCCCAGUGUCCCCAAUGGGGGGGGUCCCUGAGACCCACUCCACCUGGGGACCACUGUGCUAGCCUCCCUCCCUAUGGGAGCUCAGAAUUAAUGUCAUUCUUUCAAUUGUCACAUUUUUCUGUAGAUGUAGUUUGCCAUCUGCAAACUACUUGCCAACAAUACCAUCGCAGUUAUUCAUCUGAGGUGUGGCUUCUAGCAGUAAAAUUUAUACUCAAGGCACAACUUUCAACCAUGAGAAUUACUCCUUUCGUGUCGACUUUAAGGCCAUAAGGCUUCGGUUUUAAGCGAUUUUUUGCUGUGAACCACCUGAGUUCUGUGUACACAUUCUAUUUAGUUUUCCCAACUUUGUAGUUGCAUAGUCAAUAAAGU